CGGCUGGCUGCGGCGGCCGGGGAGGCCGGGGAGGCCGCGGCGCGGUCACUGCGAGCCGAGCCGAGCCGCGCCGAGCCGCGCCGAUCGCCAUCCGGCCUCGGCACUCGCGCGCGAUCCCGGCCGGCGGCGCGGCCCGGCGGGCCAGGCGGCGCCACAGCCCAUGGAGCUCGAGAACAUCGUAGCGAACACGGUGCUACUCAAGGCCCGGGAAGAUUGCUGUGGAAACUGCAGCGACAGCGAGGAAGAGCUCCCCACCCGCCUCUAGCCCCCAGCCCGAGGCCCCCACCAGCAGUUGGCGGUAGCAGCUACUCCGAGCGCCGUUUACAGUUUUGCACAGUGAUCUUCCCCAUUGUCCACUCAAGUCGUGGCCUGGGGAACACAGACGGAGCUGUCCCCAGUGUCCUCCGUCCCUCAGCCCCUGGCCUGGCUGAGUUUGGCAGGGCCUGGGCCAUCCCUGGGACAAAGGUGCGUCCCUUCAGCUCUUCUCCGUGGAGCUCGGGGCUUUCUGUAUUUAUGUAUUUGUACGAAUGUAUAUAGCGACCAGAGCAUUCUUAAUUCCCGCCGCAGACCUGGCGCCCCCGCCUUGGCUCCUGGGGGCAGCCAGCCCUGGCUGGGAGAGCGGGAGCUGGCAGAGGAGCCACUGCCAAACUCAAGGCUCCUCUGGCCCAGCUUGGAUGGCUGAGGGUGGUCACACCCCUGAGCCUUCAGCACUGUGCUGGCCACCCCGGCCUCUGAGUAAGACUCGUGCCUCCCCCUGCUGCCCUGGGCUCAGGCUGCUACCCUCUGGGGCCCAAAGCUGUCCCUUCUCAGUGCUUGUCAGCGCUGGGUCUGGGGCCUCUGUAUGCCCUAGGCCUGUGCCAAAGUGGCCAGAGAUUGGGCUGCCUGUGAUACCCAUCAGCCCACUGCCCCGGCCGGCCCAGAUAGGUCUGCCUCUGCCUUCCAGCUCCCACAGCCUGGUCCCUGAUACUGGGCUCUGUCCUGCAGACACCUCUUUCAGAAACGCCCAAGCCCAGCCCCUAGGAGGGGGUGGGGCAUCCCUGGUCAACCCUCAAACAUUCCGGACUCCCCUCAUAACAAUAGACACAUGUGCCCAGCAAUAAUCCGCCCCUUCCUGUGUGCGCCUGUGGGGUGCGUGCGCGCGCGUGUGUACCUGUGUGGGUGAAGGGGAUAGGGCGAGGCUGUGCCUGUGCCCCAGGUCCCAGCCCUGGCCCUUCCCAGACUGUGAUGGCCAUCCUGGUCCCAGUGUUAGGGUAGCAUGGGAUUACAGGGCCCUGUUUUUUCCAUAUUUAAAGCCAAUUUUUAUUACUCGUUUUGUCCAACGU
rnacentral:lncRNA from 1 species